rnacentral:rRNA from 1 species
UGGGGAAUCUUCCGCAAUGGACGAAAGUCUGACGGAGCAACGCCGCGUGAGUGAUGACGGCCUUCGGGUUGUAAAGCUCUGUUAAUCGGGACGAAUGGUUCUUGUGCGAAUAGUGCGAGGAUUUGACGGUACCGGAAUAGAAAGCCACGGCUAACUACGUGCCAGCAGCCGCGGUAAUACGUAGGUGGCAAGCGUUUUCCGGAAUUAUUGGGCGUAAAGCGCGCGCAGGCGGAUUGGUCAGUCUGUCUUAAAAGUUCGGGGCUUAACCCCGUGAUGGGAUGGAAACUGCCAAUCUAGAGUAUCGGAGAGGAAAGUGGAAUUCCUGGUGUAGCGGUGAAAUGCGUAGAUAUUAGGAAGAACACCAGUGACGAAGGCGACUUUCUGGAAGAAAACUGACGCUGAGGCGCGAAAGCCAGGGGAGCGAACGGG